CAAAUACUUACUCAAAUUCACCUGAAAUGGAAUCCAAUAUUACUAUUGGGCCAGAAUGAUCACAGCUCAAUGAUGGAGCAUAUAUACUGUGUAUUCAGUAAAAGCAGAGCUGAGGAAAACUUCUGUUGAGAACAUUGCGAACUUCUUCUCAUAAAUUAUGGUCCAUGAAGAUACUAAUACUGCCACAAUAAACAACGUUGUCUGGUUCUGCACAGCAGUACUUUAAAUCUAUCAGGAGCUGCUGAUCCAAUUCUACAGAGGAAUUAUUGAGUCUGUCAUUUGCACCUCUAUAACUGUCUGGUUCGGUUCUGCAACCCAACAAGAAAAACACAGACUUCAGAGGAUAAUUAGAACUGCAGAAAAAAUAAUUGCUAUCAACCUGCCUUCCAUUGAGGACCUGUAUACUGCACGAAUCAAGAAGAGGGCCGUGAAAAUAUUUGCAGAUCCCUCGCAUCCUGGACAUAAACUGUUUCAACUCCUACCCUCAAAACGACGCUAUAGAGCACUGUACACCAGAACAACUAGACACAAGAACAGUUUUUUCCCGAAGGCCAUCACUCUGCUAAACAAAUAAUUCCAUCAACACUGUCAGACUAUUUACUGAAUCUGCACUACUAUUAAUCGUUUCAUAGUUCCCAUCACCAAUCUCUUUCCACUUAUGAUUGUAUGACUAUAACUUGUUGCUGGCAAUCCUUA